rnacentral:rRNA from 1 species
GACGAACGCUGGCGGCGUGCUUAACACAUGCAAGUCGAACGGAAAGGCCCUGCUUUUGUGGGGUGCUCGAGUGGCGAACGGGUGAGUAACACGUGAGUAACCUGCCCUUGACUUUGGGAUAACUUCAGGAAACUGGGGCUAAUACCGGAUAGGAGCUCCUGCUGCAUGGUGGGGGUUGGAAAGUUUCGGCGGUUGGGGAUGGACUCGCGGCUUAUCAGCUUGUUGGCGGGGUAGUGGCUUACCAAGGCUUUGACGGGUAGCCGGCCUGAGAGGGUGACCGGCCACAUUGGGACUGAGAUACGGCCCAGACUCCUACGGGAGGCAGCAGUGGUGAAUAUUGCACAAUGGGCGGAAGCCUGAUGUAGCAACGCCGCGUGCGGGAUGACGGCCUUCGGGUUGUAAACCGCUUUCGCCUGUGACGAAGCGUGAGUGACGGUAAUGGGUAAAGAAGCACCGGCUAACUACGUG